rnacentral:rRNA from 1 species
GACGAACGCUGGCGGCGUGCCUAAUACAUGCAAGUCGAACGCACAGUUUAUACCGUAGCUUGCUACACCAUAGACUGUGAGUUGCGAACGGGUGAGUAACGCGUAGGUAACCUGCCUGGUAGCGGGGGAUAACUAUUGGAAACGAUAGCUAAUACCGCAUAAUAUUGAUUAUUGCAUGAUAAUUGAUUGAAAGAUGCUAUUGCAUCACUACCAGAUGGACCUGCGUUGUAUUAGCUAGUAGGUGAGGUAACGGCUCACCUAGGCGACGAUACAUAGCCGACCUGAGAGGGUGAUCGGCCACACUGGGACUGAGACACGGCCCAGACUCCUACGGGAGGCAGCAGUAGGGAAUCUUCGGCAAUGGACGAAAGUCUGACCGGGCAACGCCGCGUGAGUGAAGAAGGGUGUCGGAUCGUAAAGCUCGGUUGUAAGGGAAGAACGGGUGUGAGAGUGGAAAGUUCACACUGUGACGGUAGCUUACCAGAAAGGGACGGCUAACUACGUG